GUAAAGGUGGCUGAAGAUAGGUGGUGGGUUGUAAUUCCAUUUAUGGGGUAAAAUCCCCUCUUUACA
rnacentral:tRNA from 3 species